rnacentral:pre_miRNA from 1 species
ACCUUUCUCUUGUUGUCCACUGUGCUAUGUAGACGUCAGUGGACAACAGGAUAAUGGCGU